rnacentral:lncRNA from 1 species
AAUACAAUUAAAUCCUAAUCUGGGGAGGAGGAAUCCUCUGCAGGCUUUCCUCUAACCUGCCGCCCUCUCCCCCAUUUUCAUUUCACAGUCAGAUAAAAUGCAGCAGAGGAAGGGGAAAUACAGGAGAGGUGGAGUGCUGUGUGAUUUGCCUGCCCUGAAGGACUGCAUAAACACAGGGAGUGCUGGGUGGAAAGGGGGUAAAUCUACAGUUCUGAUCCUGGUGAGUGAAAAUAAAGGCCUAACUUUAGUCACAGGGGGAACUACCUGCCUGCAGAGAGUUUUCACCUGUGAAUGAUGUUAAUCAGGUGCAGGAAGUCUCUGCUUCUGGAAGAAGAAUCCUUCUCACACCCUAGCUUUGGCUGUUAGCUCAGUUCCAGACUGCAGAGCAAAAUUGAUUUUCCUAUCUGUUGUGUGUUAUUUAGUUCCCACCUGCCAUAGAGAACUGUUUUCUUGCUGAUGUUUAUUAGCAAAGGGGUUAACUUCCAAGCUGCUUUGACCAGUGGCCCUCAACAGAUGAUCUGAGAAGAUGGAUGGGACAGGGCUUCAGAUGAUGUGGCUCUUGUGACAGCACUAAACCCCGGCUGACUGCUCUUCAUCCAUCUUGCUUUUGGGGAAGGCAUCGAGCAGUGAAGGCAGGAUUCAGCUCUGCUGCCUUUGUAUUGCAGCUCCUUUGCAGCAUUAUUUGAGAGGAACUAUCAGCCUACAUGUCCACUGAGUGCUUGAGUCAUAUCAGAAGAUAAAUGCAAUUCAAUGUGACAGACUUCUUUGUUUCUAGAGCUACAAACAUUUCAGGUACUGAGGAAUCUUGUUCUUUCUGCUGCAACUACUUCACCUUGUGUUGCCUGUGUGUGAAUCAACAGGACAGUUUGAAUUCAUCAUUGGAUGCACCAGCUUCUGCUUCCUUAGUGCCUCAUUGCUGCUUUUUUUUUUUUUUGUCUUCCAUGUGAUUUUGAGCCUUGGAUUUUACUCUUUUUUUCUUUCCAUUGUCACUUUGCAUGCUGUGUCCCUAAAUGACAUUUUGAUGAAAAUACACAUAUUUUGCAGGCAUUUGUACCCAUUAGCCAGUGUUGCUGUUCACUUUCCUAUCUGCUAUACAAAUUCACACUAAAUGCUCUUAAAACAUUUUUUCUUUUUUGCUACGCUUUUCAUCCACUGUCCGAGAUUUGUGUCAUUUCGCAAGGUGUGGACUAACACAAUAUGUUGUCAUCGUAAUCUAAUAUUUCGACAAUCACAACACAAGUGUAGCCUGCUUGUGUGCCAGCAAGCUGUGCACAGCUGAGUUAGAAGCCUUUUUUUGUCAGUGUUAUCCAGGAUAAUGCCUUCUCCUCACCUUCAAGCUGGUUUUGUAGAUUCGUGUUGUCUGCUCAUUAGAGGGUGGCAGCAUUUUCCUCUGCAUUUGGAAAUCGGCUCUCACUCCUUCCAAAUUAACAUUAUUGUCUGGAU